GACGAACGCUGGCGGCGUGCUUAACACAUGCAAGUCGAACGGAAAGGCCCUGCUUUUGUGGGGUGCUCGAGUGGCGAACGGGUGAGUAACACGUGAGUAACCUGCCCUUGACUUUGGGAUAACUUCAGGAAACUGGGGCUAAUACCGGAUAGGAGCUCCUGCUGCAUGGUGGGGGUUGGAAAGUUUCGGCGGUUGGGGAUGGACUCGCGGCUUAUCAGCUUGUUGGUGGGGUAGUGGCUUACCAAGGCUUUGACGGGUAGCCGGCAUGAGAGGGUGACCGGCCACAUUGGGACUGAGAUACGGACCAGACUCCUACGGGAGGCAGCAGUGGGGAAUCUUGCACAAUGGGCGGAAGCCUGAUGUAGCAACGCCGCGUGCGGGAUGACGGCCUUCGGGUUGUAAACCGCUUUCGCCUGUGACGAAGCGUGAGUGACGGUAAUGGGUAAAGAAGCACCGGCUAACUACGUG
rnacentral:rRNA from 1 species